CCCGCUGAACUUAAGCAUAUCAAUAAGCGGAGGAAAAGAAACUAACAAGGAUUCCCCUAGUAACUGCGAGUGAAGCGGGAAAAGCUCAAAUUUAAAAUCUGGCGUGCCUUUGGCCGUCCGAGUUGUAGUCUGGAGAAGUGUUUUCCGCGCUGGACCGUGUACAAGUCCCUUGGAACAGGGCGUCAUAGAGGGUGAGAAUCCCGUCUUUAACAUGGACUACCAGUGCUUUGUGAUGCGCUCUCAAAGAGUCGAGUUGUUUGGGAAUGCAGCUCAAAAUGGGUGGUAAAUUCCAUCUAAAGCUAAAUAUAGGCGAGAGACCGAUAGCGAACAAGUACCGUGAGGGAAAGAUGAAAAGCACUUUGGAAAGAGAGUUAAACAGUACGUGAAAUUGCUGAAAGGGAAACGCUUGAAGUCAGUCGCAUCUGCUGGGACUCAGCCUUGCUUCUGCUUGGUGCACUUUCUAGUUUUGAUGGGCCAGCAUCGAUUUUGACUGUUGGAAAAAGUUGGAGGGAAUGUGGCACCUUUUGGGUGUGUUAUAGACCUCUAUCGCAUGCAACGGUUUGGAUCGAGGACCGCAGCACGCCUUUAUGGCCGGGGUUCGCCCACGUACGUGCUUAGGAUGCUGGCGUAAUGGCUUUAAGCGACCCGUCUUGAAACACGG
rnacentral:rRNA from 1 species